UAGGGAAUAUUGCUUAAUGGGCGAAAGCCUGAAGCAGCAACGCCGCGUGUGCGAUGAGGGCCUUCGGGUUGUAAAGCACUUUUUGGAGGGAUGAGGAAGGACAGUACCUUCAGAAUAAGCCUCGGCUAACUACGUGCCAGCAGCCGCGGUAAAACGUAGGAGGCGAGCGUUAUCCGGAUUUACUGGGCGUAAAGCGCGUGUAGGCGGCUCGACAAGUUGGAUGUGAAAGCUCCUGGCUUAACUGGGAGAGGUCGUUCAAAACUGUCGGGCUAGAGUAUGAGAGAGGGAGUGGAAUUCCGGGUGUAGUGGUGAAAUGCGUAGAUAUCCGGAGGAACACCAGUGGCGAAAGCGGCCUCCUGGCUCAAAACUGACGCUCAGACGCGAAAGCUAGGGUAGCAAACG
rnacentral:rRNA from 1 species